GCGCAGGAAAAGAAACCAACAGGGAUUGCCUCAGUAACGGCGAGUGAAGCGGCAACAGCUCAAAUUUGAAAUCUGGCCGCAAGGUCCGAGUUGUAAUUUGUAGAGGAUGCUUUUGGCGAGGUGACUUCCGAGUUCCCUGGAACGGGACGCCAUAGAGGGUGAGAGCCCCGUACGGUCGUGCCACCGAGCCUCUGUAAAGCUCCUUCGACGAGUCGAGUAGUUUGGGAAUGCUGCUCUAAAUGGGAGGUGUACGCCUUCUAAAGCUAAAUACCGGCCAGAGACCGAUAGCGCACAAGUAGAGUGAUCGAAAGAUGAAAAGCACUUUGAAAAGAGGGUUAAAAAGUACGUGAAAUUGUUGAAAGGGAAGCAUUCAUGACCAGACUUGGGCUUGGUUGAACAUCCGGCGUUCUCGCCGGUGCACUCUGCCAGCUCAGGCCAGCAUCAGUUUGCCCCGGGGGACAAAGGCAGCGGGAAUGUGGCUCCCUACGGGGAGUGUUAUAGCCCGUCGUGUAAUGCCCUGGGGUGGACUGAGGUUCGCGCUUCGGCACGGAUGCUGGCGUAAUGGUCAUCAAUGACCCGUCUUGAAACACGGACCAAGGAGUCGUCUUCGUAUGCGAGUGUUCGGGUGUCUAACCCCUACGCGUAAUGAAAGUGAACGUAGGUGAGAGCUUCGGCGCAUCACCGACCGAUCCUGAUGUUCUCGGAUGGAUUUGA
rnacentral:rRNA from 1 species